rnacentral:rRNA from 1 species
CAAGGGAUUUUCCGCAAUGGGGGCAACCCUGACGGAGCAACGCCGCGUGCGGGAUGACGCCUCUUGGGGUGUAAACCGCUUUUGCCGGGGAAGAGAACGGACGGUACCCGGCGAAUCAGGACCGGCUAACUACGUGCCAGCAGCCGCGGUAAUACGUAGGGUCCGAGCGUUGUCCGGAGUGACUGGGCGUAAAGCGCGCGCAGGCGGCCCGCGAGGUGUCACGUGAAAGCCCCGAGCUCAACUCGGGAGGGUCGUGGCAAACCGGCGGGCUUGAGGCCGGUAGAGGUGGGUGGAACUCCUGGUGGAGUGGUGAAAUGCGUAGAGAUCAGGAAGAACACCCGUGGCGAAGGCGGCCCACUGGGCCGGACCUGACGCUGAGGCGCGAAGGCGUGGGGAGCGAACGGGAUUAGAUACCCCCGUAGUCC